GAUGAACGCUAGCUACAGGCUUAACACAUGCAAGUCGAGGGGAAACGAUAUUGGAAGCUUGCUUCCGAUAGGCGUCGACCGGCGCACGGGUGAGUAACGCGUAUCCAACCUGCCCAUCACUUGGGGAUAACCUUGCGAAAGUAAGACUAAUACCCAAUGACGUCUCUAGAAGACAUCUGAAAGAGAUUAAAGAUUUAUCGGUGAUGGAUGGGGAUGCGUCUGAUUAGCUUGUUGGCGGGGUAACGGCCCACCAAGGCGACGAUCAGUAGGGGUUCUGAGAGGAAGGUCCCGCACAUUGGAACUGAGACACGGUCCAAACUCCUACGGGAGGCAGCAGUGAGGAAUAUUGGUCAAUGGACGAGAGUCUGAACCAGCCAAGUAGCGUGCAGGAUGACGGCCCUAUGGGUUGUAAACUGCUUUUAUAAGGGAAUAAAGUGAGAGUCGUGACUCUUUUUGCAUGUACCUUAUGAAUAAGGACCGGCUAAUUCCGUGCCAGCCGCCGCCGUAA
rnacentral:rRNA from 1 species